rnacentral:rRNA from 1 species
UACGGUGGGGGCAAGCGUUGUUCGGAAUUACUGGGCGUAAAGGGCUCGUAGGUGGCCAACUAAGUCAGACGUGAAAUCCCUCGGCUUAACCGGGGAACUACGUCUGAUACUGGAUGGCUUGAGUUUGGGAGAGGGAUGCGGAAUUCCAGGUGUAGCGGUGAAAUGCGUAGAUAUCUGGAGGAACACCGGUGGCGAAGGCGGCAUCCUGGACCGGUAUUGACGCUGAGGCGCGAAAGCGUGGGGAGCAAACAGG